rnacentral:rRNA from 1 species
AAUGCGUUUUGAGAUGGUCCUGCGGCCUAUCAGCUAGUUGGUGAGAUAAUAGCUCACCAAGGCUAUGACGGGUAUCCGGCCUGAAAGGGUGAUCGGACACACUGGAACUGAGACACGGUCCAGACUCCUACGGGAGGCAGCAGUGGGGAAUUUUGGACAAUGGGGGAAACCCUGAUCCAGCGACGCCGCGUGGAGGACGAAGGCCUUCGGGUUGUAAACUCCUUUUAGAGGGGAAGAAAAAAAUGACGGUACCCUCAGAAAAAGCCACGGCUAACUACGUGCCAGCAGCCGCGGUAAUACGUAGGUGGCGAGCGUUACUCGGAAUUACUAGGCGUAAAGCGUAUGUAGGCGGUCGGAUAAGUCUUUGGUGAAAUUUCUCGGCUCAACCGAGAAAGGCACAAGGAUACUGUUCGGCUUGAGUGUGGUAGGGGGAGACGGAAUUCCUGGUGUAGCGGUGAAAUGCGUAGAUAUCAGGAGGAACACCGAUGGCGAAAGCAGUCUCCUGGACCAAUACUGACGCUAAUGUACGAAAGCUAGGGUAGCAAACAGGAUUAGAUACCCUGGUAGUCCUAGCUGUAAACGAUGUUCACUAGAUGUGGGAGGUAUCGACCCCUUCCGCGUCGACGCUAACGCAUUAAGUGAACCGCCUGGGGAGUACGGCCGCAAGGUUGAAACUCAAAGGAAUUGACGGGGGCCCGCACAAGCGGUGGAGUAUGUGGUUUAAUUCGACGCAACGCGAAAAACCUUACCUGGGCUUGAACUGCUAAUGGUAAAAACCGGAAACGGCAAUGACCCGCAAGGGAGUUAGCAGAGGUGCUGCAUGGCUGUCGUCAGCUCGUGUCGUGAGAUGUUGGGUUAAGUCCCGCAACGAGCGCAACCCUUAUCCCAUGUUACCUGUAGCAAUACAGGGUCUCUGAGGAAACUGCCAUCGAUAAGAUGGAGGAAGGUGGGGACGACGUCAAGUCAUCAUGGCCUUUAUGUCCAGGGCUACACACGUACUACAACGGUCGGUACAGAGGGAAGCGAUAUCGCAAGGUGGAGCAAAUCCCAAAAAGCCGGCCUCAGUUCAGAUUGUGGGCUGCAAUUCGCCCACAUGAAGUAGGAAUC